AGAUUGAACGCUGGCGGCAGGCCUAACACAUGCAAGUCGAGCGGUAGAGAGGUGCUUGCACCUCUUGAGAGCGGCGGACGGGUGAGUAAUGCCUAGGAAUCUGCCUAGUGGUGGGGGAUAACGUUCGGAAACGGACGCUAAUACCGCAUACGUCCUACGGGAGAAAGCGGGGGACCUUCGGGCCUCGCGCCAUUAGAUGAGCCUAGGUCGGAUUAGCUAGUUGGUGAGGUAAUGGCUCACCAAGGCGACGAUCCGUAACUGGUCUGAGAGGAUGAUCAGUCACACUGGAACUGAGACACGGUCCAGACUCCGUACGGGAGCAGCAGUGGG
rnacentral:rRNA from 1 species